rnacentral:rRNA from 1 species
UACGGGGGGGGUAAGCGUUGUUCGGAAUUACUGGGCGUAAAGGGCUCGUAGGCGGCCAACUAAGUCAGACGUGAAAUCCCUCAGCUUAACUGGGGAACUGCGUCUGAUACUGGAUGGCUUGGAUUUGGGAGAGGGAUGCGGAAUUCCAGGUGUAGCGGUGAAAUGCGUAGAUAUCUGGAGGAACACCGGUGGCGAAGGCGGCAUCCUGGACCGGUAUUGACGCUGAGGCGCGAAAGCUAGGGGAGCAAACAGG